rnacentral:rRNA from 1 species
AACGAACGCUGGCGGCAGGCCUAACACAUGCAAGUCGAACGAGAAGCCACCUUCGGGUGGUGGACAGUGGUAGACGGGUGAGUAACGCGUGGGAACGUGCCUUUCGGUUCGGAAUAACCCAGGGAAACUUGGGCUAAUACCGGAUACGCCCUCCGGGGGAAAGAUUCAUCGCCGAAAGAUCGGCCCGCGUCGGAUUAGCUAGUUGGUGAGGUAAUGGCUCACCAAGGCGACGAUCCGUAGCUGGUCUGAGAGGAUGACCAGCCACACUGGGACUGAGACACGGCCCAGACUCCUACGGGAGGCAGCGGUGGGGAAUAUUGGACAAUGGGCGCAAGCCUGAUCCAGCCAUGCCGCGUGGGUGAAGAAGGCCUUAGGGUUGUAAACCCCUUUCAGCGGGGAAGAUAAUGACGGUACCCGCAGAAGAAGUCCCGGCUAACUCCGUGCCAGCCGCCGCGGUAAAAC